rnacentral:misc_RNA from 1 species
UUGUAGAACUUAUGUCUCCUCAACUACCAGCUCCACAAGUUUUCCACCAUCCGGCUCGAUCAGCCCGCAUCGGAUUCGGGCCGCCGCCAACGGCCCGGCCCGAUACCUGGAACGCCAUGAAAGUGGGAUAUGUUGAGGUAAAACGAAAUGGGUUUUGUGGGUUUUGGGUAAAUAUUGAGAUGGACCUGGAGUUUUGAGAAACAGAGAAGCCAUUGUCGCCAUUAGAGAGAUACAGUGUGG